rnacentral:rRNA from 1 species
CUACGGGCUGCUCCAGUGGGGAAUAUUGCGCAAUGGGCGAAAGCCUGACGCAGCAACGCCGUGUGAGGGAUGAAGGCUUUCGGAUCGUAAACCUCUGUCGGAAGGGAAGAACGGGCAUUGGUCUAAUAGGCCUUUGUUUUGACGGUACCUUUAGAGGAAGCACCGGCUAACUCCGUGCCAGCAGCCGCGGUAAUACGGAGGGUGCAAGCGUUAUUCGGAAUUACUGGGCGUAAAGCGCACGUAGGCGGCCUUGUAAGUCAGGGGUGAAAUCCCACGGCUCAACCGGGGAACUGCCUUUGAAACUGCAGGGCUUGAAUCCUGGAGAGGGUGGCGGAAUUCCUGGUGUAGGAGUGAAAUCCGUAGAUAUCAGGAGGAACACCGGUGGCGAAGGCGGCCACCUGGACAGGCAUUGACGCUGAGGUGCGAAAGUGUGGGGAGCAAACAGGAUUAGAUACCCUUGUAGUC